CAGUAUCACGCAGUACGACACUGAGUGGCCCCCGGUGAGAUUGAAGCCCGUCGAGACCGUAUUGCUUUGCUGAUGCGAGCCGUGCCCGCGUGGGGGACGCGACGUGGCCGGGAAAGACCGGCAUGGAUUGUCGCUUGCGCGGCGCGCGUGGGCGGGCUCGAAAAAGAGGAGGCCUAGCUUUGGACCACAUGCAUGUUUGAUCGAGAUUAGCCCGUGGUAUAGCUUAGCUAGGAUAAGUAGUGACGACUAUAUAUAUGGAGUAUAUCGCUGGCGCUCUAGGAUAGAGUUGGAGGGUAGCUGCUUUGCCUCCAUCGAGUGCGGUGUUGCAUCCGGCUGGUGCCUCGUGAGGCCAGUAGACUAUUAAUAGGGUAGCAUCUCUUUAGGAACUCCCCCCUCUUGAGUUGAGGUCAAGAAAAGCCGGGCGCUGCAUGCACGGAAAAGGGGGCCUUUCAGUUCCGUUUUUGUCGUGGUGGAUGCCAACAGCACGCGGAAUCGAGAGCUACAUGGCGUCCCAUGUACUGCAUGCACUGCUUUCGUUCCCCGGGCUUUCAGUACACGAAUGACAGAUUCAAGAACUGAUGAGGUGAGCUGCAAGCAGAAAAUAUGGACAGCAGGAAAUUUGUGCCAUGGUUUUGUGACAAAAGUUGUUCACUUAAGAAAAUAUUAGUAGACGUAGCGUUUUUUUCACAAUAUUUUAACCAGUGAACUUCUUGACCCCAACCCCGCGUGAUACAUCGAUUCCUGUACGUACAUGCUCAUGGAGUACACAACCGACAAGUGCUUAAGUCCAGAGAGAGCGAGACAAUUAAAUCCCUUGUACGAGACCAGUCAAGCUAGCUUUAUAUAUACUCCUCCAUGAUCAA